GACGAACGCUGGCGGCGUGCCUAAUACAUGCAAGUCGAACGCACUCUCGUUUAGAUUGAAGGAGUUUGCUCCUGAUUGAUAAACAUUUGAGUGAGUGGCGGACGGGUGAGUAACACGUGGGUAACCUGCCCUAAAGUGGGGGAUAACAUUUGGAAACAGAUGCUAAUACCGCAUAAAACCUAACACCGCAUGGUGUAGGGUUGAAAGAUGGUUUCGGCUAUCACUUUAGGAUGGACCCGCGGUGCAUUAGUUAGUUGGUGAGGUAAAGGCUCACCAAGACCGUGAUGCAUAGCCGACCUGAGAGGGUAAUCGGCCACACUGGGACUGAGACACGGCCCAGACUCCUACGGGAGGCAGCAGUAGGGAACCUUCCACAAUGGACGAAAGUCUGAUGGAGCAACGCCGCGUGAGUGAAGAAGGUUUUCGGAUCGUAAAACUCUGUUGUUGGAGAAGAAUGUAUCUGAUAGUAACUGAUCAGGUAGUGACGGUAUCCAACCAGAAAGCCACGGCUAACUACGUG
rnacentral:rRNA from 1 species